GAGGUGUCAAGUUUUGGUCUGAAGUUUGAAAGUACCUCGAUGAUCCAGAGGAGAGUUUUGGCGGAGUUCAUCGCGGAAUGGACCUCGACGCCCGAUGAAGAGGUCCAGGAGACUACUCUCCCCGACAAGGAAGCAAGUCGCAACUGGAUUAUGUACUUUGAUGGGGCUUUCUCGCUGCAAGGUGCCAGUGCUGGGGUGCUGCUUGUUGCACCCACUGGAGAGCACCUCAAGUAUGUCCAGAUGCACUUUCCCAGGGAGAUGUCAACGAAGAACGCUGCCGAAUACGAGGGAUUGCUUGCCGGUCUCAGGAUCGCGGCAGACCUCAGAGUCAAAAAGCUCAUCAUUAGGGGUGAUUCACAGCUUGUCGUCAGGCAAGUCAACAAGGAUUAUCAAAGUCCGUUGAUGGAAGCUUACAUAGGUGGAGUGAGGAAACUGGAGGAACACUUUGACGGGAUACAAGCGGAGCAUGUCCCUCGAAUGGAAAACGACAUCGCCGACUACCUAUCGAAGCGUGCUGCCCUGAAGCUACCUAUGGAACUAGGUACUUUUGUGCUUCGGUUAACUCAACCAUCCAUUGAACCGUCAAUAGAGCAGAGCAAGCGGAGGAAAUCAGGCCCCAACAAGUACUUCCCCACUGAGCUCCCU
rnacentral:rRNA from 1 species